AUGUCCACCACAACGGCACCCAUGAUGACUCCCUCCUCCGUGCUCACGCUCACCACCCUCUCCGUGCCCGCCCCGACCGCCCCCAUCAUCGCUCCACCCGCCACGUCGGCUCCCACCCCCGUCCUUCCACCCAUCGCGGUCUCGCUCGACCGCAAUAACUUCAUGCUAUGGAGGGCCCUUUCCCUUCCCAACUUCGCCGGAGUUUGCCUCCAUAGCUUCCUCGACGGCUCGGCCAAGGCGCCAGCGCCGACCGUGAUGACAAGCACCGGCGAGGCCACCCGCACCGUGUCCAACCCUGAGUAUGAGCAGUGGUGGACGAUGUAUCAGAAGGUUCUCAGGCAUCUCCUCAGUUUAAUGAACGUGGAGAUCUCCGCGUAG
rnacentral:rRNA from 1 species